rnacentral:lncRNA from 1 species
GCCCCGCUACGCUGCAGCUGGAGCGACCGCCACGGCCAGUCCCGCAGACCGGGGAGGAGGAGGAGGAGGGGAAGCCGGGGAGGGAGGCGCAGAGAGGAGGGUUGGAGCCGGGAGGAGGAAAUAAAUAAAUAAAACAAUAACCUCCGCGCCAAUAAGAGCGAGGGAGAGAGCAAGACGCGACCAGAAAGCCACCGGGGCCCGCUCGCGCGCCUCUGAGAGGCUGUCCGCGCGCGCGCGUGUGUGCGUGAGUGUGGAUUUGCCGGGACUGGAGCUGGAAAGUUCAAACUAAACGUGUUGCUCUCGCCGGGUGCCGAGGCCGCGGCGGAGGCUGCCCAACUUCCCCGGGCCAAGUGAGUGGCGUUGCCCAGCGCCUUUGGCGAGGCGGCGGCCGCUCGGCCCUGCGCCCGGGCGAGGCGGCGGCGACGGCGGCUCCGCUCGCCCCGGGAGGGAGCCCGCGGCCAGGGCUGGACGCUCGCCCCGCCACCUCCACCGACUCUCUCUCUCCUCAGCCUCUGCGCCUGGCACCGCAGCAAGACUUGAAUGCAGUGAUCAUGUAAACUAGAGAAAGGAGAUUAAAAAUCACCUCUGGAUAUUCCUCUCACGUGAUCUUUAUUCUGGAUGAAGCAUUAGGACAGCUAAUAGACGUGUGUCACUGUAAGUAUUUUCUAAUGAACUUAGAAUGUUUAUUUUUUUGUUGCUGGAUAACAUCAAAUGUUGUACACUUUCACAGAAUUUAAGAAAAAUAGAUGUAGUAUUGUAGCAGUAAUGGGCAGAACACUAAAAACUAAAAUACUAAGUAGCAGGGAUAGCAACACGGAAGGGGAAAAUUAUUCUGGUUGUAGAAUCCCUUAUAAUGAGUAAAUAUUUGAUAUAAACAAAAGUGAAGGACAAAGUGAUAAUUAUUUAUGAUGUCAAAGUGAUCUUUGCUAGAAUAUUCUUGAGAAUGUGACAGCUUUCUGAUGAGGAAGUAAAAUAAUUGUAAAGCUUUGCUGAGAAGAAUCAC